rnacentral:rRNA from 1 species
UACGUAGGGGGCUAGCGUUGCUCGGAAUCACUGGGCGUAAAGCGCACGUAGGCGGGUCUUUAAGGCAGGGGUGAAAUCCUGGAGCUCAACUCCAGAACUGCCUUUGAUACUGAGGAUCUCGAGUCCGGGAGAGGUGAGUGGAACUCCGAGUGUAGAGGUGAAAUUCGUAGAUAUUCGGAAGAACACCAGUGGCGAAGGCGGCUCACUGGCCCGGUACUGACGCUGAGGUGCGAAAGCGUGGGGAGCAAACAGG